UUUUGCAAACAUGUUUAUUGU
rnacentral:piRNA from 1 species